CACAGUUUAUCUAUAAUUUGCGACACAAAUCUUUUGAUCCUAAUUAAUCUAUAAUUAGACAAUAUUUAUCAAAUACAAACGAAAAUGCUACAACGUCUCGGCAACAACUAAGGCCUUGUUUAGAUGCCAAAACUUUUUGAAGUUUGACACUAUAGCACUUUACUUUGUAUUUGACAAUUAUUAUCCAACCAUAGACUAACUAGGCUCCAAAGAUUCGUCCUACAAAUUAGAGGCAAACUGUGUAAUUAGGCCCUGUUUAGAUUUGAAAUUUUGGUCAAAGUGGUAAAAUUUUUUGUGGUCAGAACUUUAGCUUAGAAGUCUCACGCACGAGAAAAAUUUUAGGUUUUUAGUUUGGCAAAUUUUUUUCUGACACAACUUGAGUUGUAUGUAGUUGCAGUUGUCAUUUGUGGGUUUUCAUGGGAGUAUGUGCACAGUAGCAGGCCCUGCAGCCCAAAAUUUUGGCCCCAAAAUUUUUUGGCCCCGUUUAGUUCCUAGGCCUCAAUUCCACAAAAUAUUUUCUCUUUGGGCUAAAAAAUUUCAAAUCUAAACAGACCUUUAGUUAAUUUUUUAUCUAUAUUUAAUGUUUUAUUCAUGCGUCCAAAGAUUCGAUGUGAUAUGAAAUCUUAUAAACUUUUGGAAUUUUAGGUGCAUUUAAACAAGACUUCAACGAGACCCAGAUUUCAUUUCCUACCUUUCCUACCCUGCCAUAUAUAUAUUACGUGAAUAUCAUACAAAAAUCAUAGAACAUCACAUAUAUACUACAAGAACAUCGAAAAAAACAUUACAGAACAUGACAUUAUAUACCACGUAAACAUUGCAAAAGAGCAUCAUACAACAUCACAUCUCAUGAAAUAUAGAAAAAUAAAAAGUUAAACAUGAAAAAAUAAAUUAAGUAAGGUAAAGUAGAAAAAUAAAAAUCUAUAAAAAACAUAAAGAAAAAAAUACAAUAUAAAACCAAUUAAAUAAAAUAAAAAUAAAACAAACAAAAUAAUUAUUAAUGACAGUAAAGUAAAAAGCGUGACGGAUUAGCGUCCAAAGCAGGCGUCCGUGCUAAAAAAUGGCACUCCGCACAUGCGCCCGCGCUGAAAAAUAGUGGUUUGUCCACGGCCCGUCCACGCUCCGCUCUUUUAUGGUUUAUGUGGGUUUUAUUAUUCUUUUCAGUUUUAUAUUUUGUAUUUCUUAUAGUUUUCUCUUUCCUUUCCUUUUCUUAUUAUUUUUAAUUUUCUUUCUUCAAUUUGUCUUUUAUUUCUCGUUUCAUAUUAUUAUUAUUAUUAUUAUUAUUAUUAUUAUUAUUAUUAUUAUUAUUAUUAUUAUUAUUAUUAUUAUUAUUAUUAUUAUUAUUAUUAUUAUUAUUAUUAUUAUUAUUAUUAUUAUUGAACUCUAGAGCUCUUUUCAGCUAGAAAGUGGUAUCUCUUUAUUGAACUCUAGCCCUCUUAUAUAGGGUAAGGUUACAUGUAUUUUUGUAUAUAUUCCUGCCCUCUGUGAGUUAAGACAUAUUCUCAAUAUUCCAUGUUUACAACAGAUUGUCCCUUAAGAGUACCUAAGACUUUCUCUCGCAUAAACCGUCUAUGUUCAUGGGCCUUAGUCAUCAGGUGGCAGUGCCCCAUUCCUUGUAGUCGAAGUCCUCUUAGAAGGUUGUCAUGUUCGUCGAGGGAGUCAGUGCGCAUGGCCUUCGGAACCUCUAGCGAAGUCCCCACGCAUGGCCGACCCUCGAAAUCAUGAAUGAGCCUUCGGCUGCCAGGUGCAACGCCCUUGUCUCGAGGCCUCCGUCGGAAGUUCAGGCUUCUUCAUCAUUGCUCUUCUCCAUUGAGCCUCCAAGGUACUACCUUUUGCCUCGAGGGUCUGUCCACCGUCCUUGUGGCCGUGAAAGAUUUCGGGGGAUGCAUAUCAGUGUUACUCAGAAAACAUCAAGUUCAAGCCUUGGCUCCCCAACAAUGUUGUUUUUUAUACAUUUGAUAUUGCACAUCCAAAAUAUUUAAAUGAUUUACUUUGUAUUUGGGUUAGACAAGGAGAAAAAAAAAUAAAUUAAAUAUGUUGAUGCACUACACCACAACCUCUAAAUAGUGAUGGACAAUCCGUUGCUG
rnacentral:lncRNA from 1 species